rnacentral:rRNA from 1 species
GAUGAACGCUGGCGGCGUGCCUAAUACAUGCAAGUCGAGCGAACAGACGAGGAGCUUGCUCCUCUGACGUUAGCGGCGGACGGGUGAGUAACACGUGGAUAACCUACCUAUAAGACUGGGAUAACUUCGGGAAACCGGAGCUAAUACCGGAUAAUAUAUUGAACCGCAUGGUUCAAUAGUGAAAGACGGUUUUGCUGUCCCUUAUAGAUGGAUCCGCGCCGCAUUAGCUAGUUGGUAAGGUAACGGCUUACCAAGGCGACGAUGCGUAGCCGACCUGAGAGGGUGAUCGGCCACACUGGAACUGAGACACGGUCCAGACUCCUACGGGAGGCAGCAGUAGGGAAUCUUCCGCAAUGGGCGAAAGCCUGACGGAGCAACGCCGCGUGAGUGAUGAAGGUCUUCGGAUCGUAAAACUCUGUUAUUAGGGAAGAACAAAUGUGUAAGUAACUAUGCACGUCUUGACGGUACCUAAUCAGAAAGCCACGGCUAACUACGUG